GUGUAGUAAAAAAAUCGUAACAAGGUCUCCGUUGGUGAACCAGCGGAGGGAUCAUUACCGAGUUUACAACUCCCAAACCCAAUGUGAACGUUACCAAACUGUUGCCUCGGCGGGAUCUCUGCCCCGGGUGCGUCGCAGCCCCGGACCAAGGCGCCCGCCGGAGGACCAACCUAAAACUCUUAUUGUAUACCCCCUCGCGGGUUUUUUUAUAAUCUGAGCCUUCUCGGCGCCUCUCGUAGGCGUUUCGAAAAUGAAUCAAAACUUUCAACAACGGAUCUCUUGGUUCUGGCAUCGAUGAAGAACGCAGCGAAAUGCGAUAAGUAAUGUGAAUUGCAGAAUUCAGUGAAUCAUCGAAUCUUUGAACGCACAUUGCGCCCGCCAGUAUUCUGGCGGGCAUGCCUGUCCGAGCGUCAUUUCAACCCUCGAACCCCUCCGGGGGGUCGGCGUUGGGGAUCGGCCCUCCCUUAGCGGGUGGCCGUCUCCGAAAUACAGUGGCGGUCUCGCCGCAGCCUCUCCUGCGCAGUAGUUUGCACACUCGCAUCGGGAGCGCGGCGCGUCCACAGCCGUUAAACACCCAACUUCUGAAAUGUGACCUCGGAUCAGGAGGAAUGCA
rnacentral:rRNA from 1 species